UACGUAGGGUGCGAGCGUUUGUCCGGAAUUAUUUGGGCGGUAAAGAGACGUGUAGGCUGCUCGGUGAAGAUCCGCUGUAAAACGUCAAAGGCUCAACCUUUGAUGUCAGUGGAUACUGCCGGGCUAGAGUCCGGAAGAGGCGAGUGAACUCCUGGUGUAGCGGUGGAAUGCGCAGAUAUCAGGAAGAACACCAACGGCGAAGCAGCUCGCUGGGACGGUACUGACGCUGAGACGCGAAAGCGUGGGGAGCGA
rnacentral:rRNA from 1 species